rnacentral:rRNA from 1 species
UACGUAUGGAGCAAGCGUUAUCCGGAUUUACUGGGUGUAAAGGGUGCGUAGGUGGCAGUGCAAGUCAGAUGUGAAAGGCCGGGGCUCAACCCCGGAGCUGCAUUUGAAACUGCUCGGCUAGAGUACAGGAGAGGCAGGCGGAAUUCCUAGUGUAGCGGUGAAAUGCAUAGAUAUUAGGAGGAACACCAGUGGCGAAGGCGGCCUGCUGGACUGUUACUGACACUGAGGCACGAAAGCGUGGGGAGCAAACAGG